UACGUAGGGGGCAAGCGUUGUCCGGAUUUAUUGGGCGUAAAGAGCGUGUAGGCGGCUUUGCAAGUCCGUUGUGAAAACUCGAGGCUCAACCUCGAGACGCCGGUGGAAACUGCAAAGCUAGAGUCCGGAAGAGGAGAGUGGAAUUCCUGGUGUAGCGGUGAAAUGCGCAGAUAUCAGGAGGAACACCGGUGGCGAAGGCGGGUCUCUGGGCCGAGUGACUGACGCUGAGGAGCGAAAGCGUGGGGAGCGAACAGG
rnacentral:rRNA from 1 species